rnacentral:rRNA from 1 species
GUCCACGCCGUAAACGAUGGAUACUAGCUGUUGGGAGCAAUCUCAGUGGCUAAGCGAAAGUGAUAAGUAUCCCACCUGGGGGAGUACGUUCGCAAGAAUGAAACUCAAAGGAAUUGACGGGGGGCCCGCACAAGCGGUGGAGCAUGUUGUUUAAUUCGAUGAUACGCGAGGAACCUUACCAAGGCUUAAAUGUAGAUUGACCGUUUUGGAAACAGAACUUUCGCAAGACAAUUUACAAGGUGCUGCAUGGUUGUCGU